UACGAAGGGGGCUAGCGUUGCUCGGAAUCACUGGGCGUAAAGCGCACGUAGGCGGAUUCUUAAGUCAGGGGUGAAAUCCUGGAGCUCAACUCCAGAACUGCCUUUGAUACUGGCGACCUUGAGUCCGGGAGAGGUGAGUGGAACUGCGAGUGUAGAGGUGAAAUUCGUAGAUAUUCGCAAGAACACCAGUGGCGAAGGCGGCUCACUGGCCCGGUACUGACGCUGAGGUGCGAAAGCGUGGGGAGCAAACAGG
rnacentral:rRNA from 1 species